rnacentral:rRNA from 1 species
AAUAGAUACCCGGGUAGUCCACGCCGUAAACGUUGGGCGCUAGAUGUGGGGACCAUUCCACGGUUUCCGUGUCGCAGCUAACGCAUUAAGCGCCCCGCCUGGGGAGUACGGCCGCAAGGCUAAAACUCAAAGGAAUUGACGGGGGCCCGCACAAGCGGCGGAGCAUGCGGAUUAAUUCGAUGCAACGCGAAGAACCUUACCAAGGCUUGACAUAUACGAGAACGCUCUAGAAAUAGAGAACUCUUUGGACACUCGUAUACAGGUGGUGCAUGGUUGUCGUCAGCUCGUGUCGUGAGAUGUUGGGUUAAGUCCCGCAACGAGCGCAACCCUCGUUCUAUGUUGCCAGCGGUUCGGCCGGGAACUCAUAGGAGACUGCCGGGGUCAACUCGGAGGAAGGUGGGGAUGACGUCAAAUCAUCAUGCCCCUUAUGUCUUGGGCUUCACGCAUGCUACAAUGGCCGGUACAAAGGGCUGCAAUACCGUAAGGUGAGCGAAUCCCAAAAAGCCGGUCUCAGUUCGGAUUGAGGUCUGCAACUCGA